CCAUUCGUUUACGGCAUAUACUUACACUUGCAUGGCUUAAGCUUUGCGACAAGCAUAUGACUACUGGCAGGAUCAACCAGGAUCUCUUCUUAAUGAAUGAUCA